rnacentral:lncRNA from 11 species
AGCUGAAGAACCACACUCCUGUCACCACAAUGCUCUUCCACAGUUUGAUUUUCCUUUGCAUUGGUGUGUACAUCAGUACACCAGCACCAAUAAAUGUACUAGAUCAACUUGAGGAAAUACAGAAUGGGUUGCAGAAUCUCAUGGACAGUAAGGUCACGCUUGAAAACGCAACCAUGGUAAGAAUCUCAAUUCUUUCCUUAACUGGGAGUCAGGGCUCCAGGCUCUGCAGAAUUCAGUGA